rnacentral:rRNA from 1 species
GAUGAACGCUGGCGGCGUGCCUAAUACAUGCAAGUCGAGCGCAGGAAGCCGUCUGAACCCUUCGGGGGGACGACGGUGGAAUGAGCGGCGGACGGGUGAGUAACACGUAAAGAACCUGCCCAUAGGUCUGGGAUAACCACGAGAAAUCGGGGCUAAUACCGGAUGUGUCAUCGGACCGCAUGGUCCGCUGAUGAAAGGCGCUCCGGCGUCGCCCAUGGAUGGCUUUGCGGUGCAUUAGCUAGUUGGUGGGGUAACGGCCCACCAAGGCGACGAUGCAUAGCCGACCGGAGAGGGUGAUCGGCCAAACUGGGACUGAGACACGGCCCAGACUCCUACGGGAGGCAGCAGUAGGGAAUCUUCCACAAUGGACGAAAGUCUGAUGGAGCAACGCCGCGUGAACGAUGAAGGCUUUCGGGUCGUAAAGUUCUGUUGUAAGGGAAGAACAAGUGCCGCAGGCAAUGGCAGCACCUUGACGGUACCUUGCGAGAAAGCCACGGCUAACUACGUGCCAGCCGCCGCUGUAA